rnacentral:rRNA from 1 species
UACGAAGGGGCUAGCGUUGUUCGGAAUCACUGGGCGUAAAGCGCACGUAGGCGGAUUGUUAAGUCGGGGGUGAAAUCCUGGAGCUCAACUCCAGAACUGCCUUUGAUACUGAAGAUCUUGAGUUCGGGAGAGGUGAGUGGAACUGCGAGUGUAGAGGUGAAAUUCGUAGAUAUUCGCAAGAACACCAGUGGCGAAGGCGGACUCACUGGCC